GUGCUCGCUUCGGUAGCACAUAUACUAAAAUUGGAACGAUGCAGAGAAGAUUAGCAUGGCCCCCCGAGCAAGGAUGACACACAAAUUUGUGAAGCGCUCCAUUUUUUA
rnacentral:snRNA from 1 species